rnacentral:pre_miRNA from 1 species
GUGGUGGUGGGGGGGCGCUCCUUCAGCCUGGAUUGUGAGAGGGCGCAGGCCAGGCUGAAGGACCCCACUGGUGCACG